rnacentral:lncRNA from 1 species
AAAGUUCUUUUUUUUUUUUUUUUUUUUUUUUUGUGUGUGUAGGUUGAUUGUGUACUGCUUUUUGGGCAUUAAAUGAUUGUAAUUAAAGGAGAAAAUAAAUUGGUUGGUCCAUAGUCUAAGUGAGUUGAGUCCCAUAAUUUAUAAUCUUAACAAACUCAUUCUGCUAACAUAUGAAAAUAGAAGUCUGCAGUUGGGAAACUCAAGUAUUAUGGAAAUCAUACGUAGGGAUUGUGUUUUUUUAUUUUUUUAUUUUUUUAUUUUUUUUAUUUUUUUUAUAAUACACUACUACAAGAAAUAUCAAUUACGAUAGCAUAAAAAAAUGCUAUUGUUGAUUUUUGAUAGCGUUUUCGAAAUGCUAUCGUAGCCGAUGCUAUUGAAAGUCCAUGAUUUUUCAUAGAUAAUAUGUCUCAAUCGAUAACACAUAUAUGAUUCUAUAAAUAUUUUUUAUAACGUGAAAAAAAUGCUAUUGAAAAUUGUAUAGCGUUUUUUAUUGCGUUGGAAAAAUCGUUAUCAAAAUGUUUCAAUAGUGUUUUCAAUAACAUUGAAAACUGCUAUAAAAACAUUUUAUAUCAUUUAUUAUUGCAUUCGAAAAACGUUUCAAUAGCUAUUUUAAUAAUAUUAAAAAAGCGUUAUCAUAAUGUUUCAAUAGUGUUUUAAUACCAUUGGAAAAAUGUUAUAAAAGACUUUUUGUAGUGUUUUUUAUUGCGUUUGGAAAAGCGUUAUCAAAACCAUUCAAUAGCUAUUUUAAUAACAUUAAAAAAUGCUAUAAACCAUUUUCUUUAGCGUUUUAUGAAUGUUGUCGUAGCAAAAAGUCUUUGACUUUUAAUAGCGUUUUUGGAGAGCUAUUAAUAGUAAUAUAAAAAUUGAUAUAUUAUAGCUUUAAUUACUGUUAUGGAAACAUUUCAUGGUAUUGAAAAAUAUCAUAAAAAAUGUUAUAAGAAUAAAAAGACAUUAUAAAAGACUAGAUUUGUUAUUGAAAGUCUCUUAUUUUUAUUAGCAUUAUUUAUUGUUAUGGAAAAAUAUAAAUACCCCGUUUUUACCCACAAACUUUAUUGUUGAUUGCCCUCUAUAGCAUCUUUUGUAAUAACACAAACAUAAUUAUAAUUGAUCUAAUAGCACUUAUCCAAUAUUAUUAUUCUAAAAUCAAAUUAUAAUCAUAUAGAUAUUUAUAGAUCAAGUCGUAUCUGCCAUACUAAGAAGAUAUAGUUCACAUUCAUCCGAAUCUACAAUCAGAAUUACAACCAAAAUAUUCAAAUUUAUAACAUAAAAAGAAAAAAGCAUUAUAUACAUUCAAAAGUUUGAAAUAAUAAUCAACACUAAGUUCUAACAAAUUUAACUACUAGAACAAGUAAAUUUUUAAUUUAAAUAAAAUGACUUAACUUCAAAUAAAUUUAGGGUUUAAUCAUGUACAUGUUAAUCUUGGAAAUUAGAGUAAAAUUUUUAUCCAUUUUUCGGUGUGCAUGUCUAAAUUCUAUCCUUGUGAUAAAAAAUUAAUUAUAUCAAUAAAAAGAAAAGGAAACAAAGAAGUGUAAAGAAAAGUCGAAUAUUGUAGGGUAUGAGCUAAAGGAAGUCGUAAUUCGUGAUAAAACAUUAAGCAUUUUGGAGAGUCAGACCCCUGAGCUGAAUUAGAUCCAACCUCCUCAUUGUCGAAAAAAGCCACCAUUUUGACACCAGGCUCAUCCUUAAGGCUACUGUCAGGAGAAGUAUUGUCGAUAAUGAGUGUCUGUAUAAAACCAUUCAAAUAAAUGUAUGUUUGACGAGUUAGAAUGAAUGAUAUGAAAUUAAGAAUCUUUUGUGAAGGCAAGCAAAUAUGUGCCAUGUGGUUUAUGGAAACUAAUCUAGCUACCAAGAGAUGACUCAGAGCCUAUUUGAAAUGCUUUUUUUAGUGUUCCAGAACUCUCUUUUUUCUUAAAAACAUUUAUUUAAUGCUUUUGGCAAAAUACAAAAUUGUAGUGCUUAAAGAAGUGGUUUAGCAAAAACCAAACCUUCAAAUAGCAAAAUGUCAUGCAUAAAUUGUCCAACCUCCCACGGAACACAAAUUCUCGCAUAGUACCACCAAUCACACUUGGUUAAGCAUCACAUACUUGCAAGUCAAAAUCAAAUAUGUCCUUUGGAUCGUAGCCAAGUUGCUCCGCAAGUAACUAGAUCAAACCAGGUAAAAUUCAUGAUGUCCAUGAAGCAAACUUUCAGUUGUAUUUUGAAAUCAAUCCACCAAAGUUCAAAUGAGUCCAGGCUAAUAAAUCAAAUUAAAUUGGUCUGGUGUUAUUUAUCUUAUUUGUAAUAGAAGCGAGUGAUGCUUUAUGCUAGUAGGAGGUUUCUAUUGAUCUGUUUUCUUUUUGUCAAUUUGUACGCAUCUUUUUUCUGAAACAACUUUAUUCAGUUCUUCUUGUGAGCAGUCAUUAAUUAGGAUGGAGGGAUAAUCAUAAACAUACACAGGAUGAAAGAGCACAAGGAAUAUUUGUCACAAAAAAAAUCAAAAAACAUAAGCCAUAAAUCCUAUGCACGAUAUGUAUGUUAUCUAUCUCCUACUAUAAAAAAUGUUGUAUAUGUAUUAAUUAUUGAUGAUGGGUGAGUUUUGGUUCGUCCCAUUGGUUAUGCCCUCAACUUGACCAUAAUGCUAACCAUAAUUAAUGAUAAGGUCAAUAUAGCCUCCUACAUUUCUAAAAUGAACUCAACAAGUCAACUAAGUUUCAUUCGGUCAUUUGAAGAAUGGUAGCUAUCGACUUUCCAAAACUGAAGAGUUCCCUAUGCAAGUUCUGAUACUGAAGGAACUAGAAGCAUUCUUACCUACCCGACUUAACCCUCCAACUUUCUAUGAGUAAUUGUUGCUUAGGCCAAAAGUGAAGAGUUCCCUACGCAAGUUCUAAUAGAGAAGGAACUCAACGCAUUCUGACCUAACCGACUUAACUCUCCGACUUUCUAUAAGAUAUUGUUCUUUAGGCCAAAAGUGAAGAGUUCUCUACGCAAUUUCGAAUACGGAAAGAACUCAACACAUUCUGACCUAACCGACUUAACUCUCCUACUUUCUAGACCUAUUGCUGCUUGGGCCAAUGGUGAAGGGUUCCCUACACAAGUUCUGAUACCAAAGGAACUCAACGCAUUAUGACCUAAUCGACUUAACUCUCCUACCUUCUAUAAGCUAUUAUUGCGAAGGCCAAUAGUGAAGAGUUCCCUACACAAGUUAUGAUACUGGAGGAACUCAACUAGUUUAGGUUUGGAAGAUCCCUCAUAUAGUUUAGGUUGUAAGACGCUGGAAGAAGCAUUUUUUUGGUCGAAUUUGUAAAUGGAAAGGCAAUGUACGUAUUUGAACUAUAUGCUCGUAUUGAAAUUUAACUUUGUAACUAUGUUGGUUAAUAUUUGCACGAUGACCUUGCAUGUGAAAAUGUUGUUUGUUCAUCCUUAAAUUACAAAUUGAGUACUAAACUUUGAAUUUAAUAUUUAUAAUUUGAUUUAUAAACAAAUAAAAGCGUUUAAUAGAAACGACAUUUGAACUUUAAUUUUGUAUUUAAUAAAUCAUUGAACUAUAAAUUUUUUGGCUAAUAAAUUCGUGAAAAGUUCAAAAUUUUAAAAAUUAAUUGAUUUAUUAGAUAUAUGUGUAUUGCAUGUGUAAUGUAACAAGUCAUUCACUUGUGUUUUUUAAAAAAAUUGGAGUAUAAGAUCAAAAUUUGUAAUUUUAAAAGUUGAAUAACCAAAUAGACAAACUUCAAAAUUUUAGAAACUAUAUUUAUAAUUUAAUUAUUUCUAAUGAAUAGGAAGAAAACUAUUUAUAAUGUAAUGGCCACCAUUCUUUCACAUUAUUAAUUCACCAUCUUUAUCCUCUCCAAGCUCCACACAUAACAAAACAAAACCUCCAACAAAUAUUCUUCUCUUACUAAAUGGAUCUCAUACACUUAAAACAACCUACAUAUAAAUUAAAACAAAUAACAAAAUAAAGGCCUCUAAUUUCCUAAAAUAAUCAACUAAACUCUUCCUAUUUCAAAGUGAAAAAAAAGCACAAAAAUAAUAACCUUAUAAAUAGACAUACAAGGAUUCUUCUCCUACACAUCAACAAUGGCACCACAUCUACUCGUCUUAUUGAUAUUUCUCUUCCUCAUUGUCUUAUUCGACAUGUCGAUGGCCAGAUUCUCGUUUGCACCACAAAAAUCAUCCAUCAUUCAACUUCACCAUUAUCAAAUCGAAAUUCACAACGACUUGGAAAUGUACUUGUUAGACAGUCAUUGCUUCUCGAAAGAUAACGAUUUAGGGUUGCAUAUACUUUUUCCAGGUGAGCUACAAGAUUGGUCGUUCCAAGAUAACGAUUUUGAAACUACUAAAUUUCGUUGCAUAUUGGAAUGGGAGAACGGAUUAUUGGAAUUUGAUUCUUUUAAAACUAAUCACAAUUUCUUGAAUAAUUUUUGUGGCAAUUUAACUUGUUCUUGGAGUGCAAGACAGGAUGGAGUUUACUUGACCAAUGUAAAGGGUGAAUAUGUUUUUCAAGAUUAUUGGGACAUGCUUAUACAUUGAAAAGCUGGCUACCUUAGUUUCUUUUCCCUUCUUACAAAAGUUGAGGUCAAUAGUUUGGGUUGAUACCAAGGUGUGGUGAAGAUAAAAUAUACAUAACCUUUCACGUGACAUCAAUAGUAAAUUUGAAAAGAGAGGACCUACUACAAAUUUAGUCUUUCUCGAUGCACGCAAAUUUUGAUUGUUUGAUGGUCAUGGCAAAGGGAUAUCAAGAAAAGUAUGUUUCUUAAUACAAUGUUUAUCUUGACGGGUAUGUACGUCAAGAAAAGUCUCCUUAUUUUGUCGAAGAAAUACGAAAAAACGUAAGAAAAAAUGUGGAUUCUUGAUUUCCUUGAUAGGCAAAGUUUUCUCAAUUUUGUUGAUGGUUCACAAAUGUCGAGAAAACUAUUUCUCAAUAGACAAUAAACAUCAAGAAUAAUAUAUUAGUUGUCUAGCAGUAUCUUUCAAGUUAGUUAGGUUUUCUUGAUGGACAGACCCAUCAAGGGAUGAAUUUUCUUAAUUGCAAUGGUCAUCAUCGAAAAAAUUAAUAUAUUUGUUUUCAAUUUUUGAUGGGUUUACAAUUUUCUUGGAUGGACAAAGACAAAAAAAAAAAAUCAUGGACAAGAUCAUCAAGAAAAAUGAUAUCUUGAAGGGCAUUGCCCAUCAAGAAAAAAAACUAGUUUUCACGUAACACGAAAUUUUAACUCUCGUUAACUAGUUCAGAAAACAUGAUAUUCAUCAAUAAUAUUAUGAAAUCUGUACUAUUUUUUUUCAAUUAUUAUUGUCUACUCAUCAAUAAUACAAUAUUACUUUUUUAAAAAUUAAGUAGCGUAGAUAUAAUUAGAAUGAAAUAAGUGACUUUAUCAAAAUUAAAUUAGUUUUUGAGUUCAACUUUAAUGACUUGAAUUGUGAGUUUAUUUUAUGGUUUUUAAAAUUGGUAGAAGUACUAGAAUAAAUCUGGUCUUUAAUGUCGGUUCAAAAUCGACAUCUUUGCUAGAGUUAUUAAAGGCCUUUAAUGUCAUUUUUAAACUGACAUCUUUGAUGGUGUUAUUGAAGGUCUUUAAUGUCGGUUGGCUUUUGACGUCAGUUUUUACAAAUUUAUUUUUAUUAAAUUUUUUGCAUUAUUGUCCACUUUUUUAUUUUACCAAAUAGUUAAAAACUGACAUUAUGGAUCCGCAUACAUAAAUAUUUUUUCUUAAGCCAACAAAUAUUAAAAUUAAUAUUACUUCAUAAACUACAAUAUUUCUCUUUUACAUAUGUAUAUACAAAAUCAAAUCUCAAUAUUGUGUUUAUAUAUAUACAUUGUACACAAUACAUGAAACAAGAUCCCAAUACACAAGACUUAAAUAAGAAAUCAUAAACGCUUUUGCAGUCUUCAACCUUGAACAAUCGCUUGGUUAUUUACACAAUCACUUAACUUUCAACCCGAUAUGACUUCAAUCAUUCUACAAACAAUAUCUAAAUCAAUCAUUUAAUCCUUAGAAUUUUAACAAGACAGCUUUGAAAAAACAUGUGGAAUAAAAACGUUUCUAAACACUAUCAUAUAAUUCAAGUAAAAGAUAAAAACAUUUGAAACUAAAUCGAUUAGUCAAGUAUAUGUAACAGAAGACUGCAAGUACUGGUAAAAUAAUUCAACUGACAUCAUGCCACGUCUCGGAAUGAGCAAGGAGGUGCAUGAGGUAGGGUGUGACACCUAUAAUCAUAAGCCUUUUUUUGGCGAUGAGAGAAAUGAAAGUUUCAUUAACCACAUUGUUAAUGACAACAUUACUUUCAAAACCCUUCAAGGUUUCAAAUUCUUUUGCAUUUUUAGCCCAAAAAUUUGUGUUUUCGUAUAAGUGGCUUGGCUAAGGUCUGCUUUAAAGGAAGUCAUGCGAGAACUAUGGACUUUUGUAAGAUUAUUUUCAGCCUCUAGCUUAUCAAUAAAUUCAAUCUCAUUUUUUAUUCUCCUCGAUAAUGCCCUUUUUCUUUGUUUGCCCCAUUGCUUAAUGGUGAAUGAGAGUUGUUUCAAUCUUCACACAAACAAAAGCAAAUUAAUAACUAAAUUAUGCGACAAUUCCUAAUGUACUUCAGGCAUAACUUUGUCAAUUAUUUCUACUCAUGCUAACAUGCUAAUAGACAUGUUCAAGUAGACCACAAUAGCGUCUCAAUAUUCAUAAAUUGAGUUAUCAUUUAAGCUUAUAAAUCUAUAUGUGAUUCUAUUGUGCGCAUAAUCAAUAAACAUAGUUAAAAGUUUUUAAUCAUACUAAAGAUUUCUUAAACACAAGAUAUGCCACCUUCGUUAGACACCCCCACACUUCUAAUUUAUUUAGAUGCAUAACAUAUUCAAAGUUCAACAAUACUAUUUUGUUGAGGGAAAUAAAUAUUAUGUCAUAAAUUAUUUUCAUCUAGUAAUGAAUUGACUAAUUCGAAUCCAUCACAAUAAUAUUCAUUACUAUAACAUAAUUUUGUUAAACUGUACAAAGUAUUAUAGUAUAUGCUCAUCAAAUAUAUACAUGGAAUAUCAUCCUCAAAUAUAGCAUAGAAAAAAGCUAGCUAAGUUCUUAGACCAUAUGUACAAAUUAAUUUCAUGGAAUACGAACCUAUGUAAAGUUCAUUCAAACUUAACCAUAAAAAGCUCAAUUGUAUUAAUUCAUAUUCGUAAAAUAAUUUACCAAUCAAAAUAUCUUCACGAGAAAAUAUUUAAAGAAUUAUAUAAAUUGUGAGGCGAAAAGUUUCUACCACAAGAUGAAAACUCAAAAUGCCAUGUUAUUCACUAAUUUAUUUGGAUCAUUAAUUUUCUAAUUUAUUAUGCCCAAAUAUUCAUCAGUUAAAUGUGCCACAUAAUGUCAAUUAAUCCGAACUUCAAUCCAGAGAUUUGUUAUGCAUAAUAUUUUUCAAUUAUAUAAUAUGUGGCCAUUUAUACCUUUUAAUUUACUAUUCAAUCCUAAUUUAUUUCUAAAAUUAAUAGUCACGUUCAAAGAUUUUAGUUAAUAUGAAUAAAUUAACUAAAAUUUUUAAUGGAAUAAAUUAUGGUCAAUAAUUUUAGGAAAUUUAUCGUAAAGUUUAGUGUAACUUAGCAAAAUAUUAGGAUACAUCACUCACGUGGAUCCAUUACUGGAACAAGAGAAGGAAAAGGAAAAAAAAUGUGCUCUCUAUUAUCUAAGUAGAACAUUAAUUGGGGUUGAAGUUAACUAUUCUCCCAUGUUGAAGAUGUGCCUCGCACUUUUCUUUGUCAUCGAUAAGUUGAGGCAUUAUAUGCAGGCAUUCACAGUUCAUCUAGUGGUAAAAGCAGACCCUAUAAAGUAUGUUAUGUCUAGGCCAAUCAUCUCUGGACGCUUAGCCAAAUGGGUGAUUCUACUCCAACAAUAUGACAUUUCUAUAUUUCCCAAAAGGCGAUAAAAGGACAAGCGCUAGUAGACUUUUUAGCAGACCACCCAAUUCCUUCGGAUUGGAAGUUAUGUAAGGACCUGCUAGACGAUGAGAUUUUCUUCACGGAAGUUAUUGAACCUUGGAUUAUGUACUUUGAUGGUGCAUCACGAAGAAGUGGUGUAGGGCCAGGCAUCAUCCUCAUUUCUUGAGAAGCAUAUGUUGCCUUAUAGCUUUGUUCUCACUGAACUGUGCUCGAAAAAUGUGGCUAAAUAUCAGACUUUGAUAAUUGACCUUCAAAUGAUAUUGGAAAUCGAAGUAUCAUUCAUAGAAAUUUAUGGUGAUUCAAAGUUCAUAAUCAAUCAACUCUUGCUUUAGUAUGAUGUGAAACAUGAAUACUUGAAGCCAUACUUCGCUUAUGCUCGACAAUUGAUGGAAAGGUUCGAUAGCGUGAUGCUUGAACAUGUCACUAGAGUAGAAAAUAAGAGGACGGACACAUUGGCGAAUUUAGUCAAUGCCUUGAUGAUGCCAGAGGAUGUAACUCUUAACAUAUCACUUUGUCAACAGUGGAUUAUGCCUCCAAUUAUGUCUGAAUGUCAUUGAGCGACCAUGACGACAUCCCGUUUGAUAGAUGAAGAAGAUUGACAUCAACCCAUCAUAGAGUAUCUUGAACAUGGAAAGCUUCCAAAGGAUUCCUGUCAUAAAACUAAGGUACAAAGAAGAGUUACGCACUUUAUUUAUUACAAGGGAACCUUAUAUCGUCGUUCUCUUGAGGGGCUCUUCCUUGAUGCCUUGGAAAGGAAGAGUCGAUAAAAGCUCUAAAGAAAGCACAUGUGGGUGUUUGUGGAACACAUCACUCAUGACCAAAGCUUCAAUUCCAACUAAGAAGAACAGGCUACUACUGGCCUAAGAUGAUCAAAGAUUCAAUAGAAUAUGCAAAGAAGUGUGAAGCUUGUCAAUACUAUGCAAACUUCAUACACCAACCUCCAGAUCCUCUUCAUCCAACUGUAGCUUGUUGGCCGUUCGAGGCUUGGGAACUCGAUAUGGUUGGCUCUAUUACACCAAAAUCAUCAACAGGACAUUCUUAUAUCCUUGCAACAACAGACUAUUUUUUGAGGUAGGUUGAUCCCAUUCUCUUUGAGAUAGACCGAGAAGGAGAAUGUGACAGACUUUAUUUGAACGCACAUCAUCUAUCAAUACAAUAUUUCUUAUUGAAUUGUGACAUAUAAUGAAAGGCAAUUCUCCAAUAGCAUGAUAGACAAAUUAUGUGAAAAAUUCAAGUUCAAGCAAUACAAGUCAUUCGUGUACAACACACAUCUGCGAAUGGGCUAGCAGAAGCAUUCAACAAAACGUUGUGCAAUCUUUUGAAGAAAAUUGUCUUCAAGUCAAAGAGGGAUUGGCAAGAAAGGAUCGAUGAGGCAUUAUAGGCUUAUCAAACUACUCAUCGCACUUCUAGAGGGGUUACACCAUAUUCACUUGUUUACGGUAUGGAAACUGGAAGGGAAAUUCUAUCGCUAGGAAUGACAGUACAGAAGGAUUAACUACUGAAGAUAAUGUCAAGCUACGUCUUCAAGUGUUAGAAGCACCUGAUGAAAAUCGAUUAGAGGCUCAACAAGCAUUGGAAUGUAAUCAAGCGAGAAUGUCCAAAGCUUUUGUUAAGCAUGUUAAACCUCGCUCCUUUCAGAUUGGUGAUCUAAUACUUGUUAUAAGAAGAACAAUCAUCACAACAAGGUAUACAGAAAAUAAGUUCACACCUAAAUGGGAUAAAUGGGAUGGACCCUACAUUAUUAAAGAAGUUUAUACAAAUGGCAAGAUCGUUGAUCAAGAAUGGAUUACGAAUUGACCUAAUCAACGACAAAUUCUUUAAAAAAAUUAUGAUUAAUUUUCAUAAGUAAAAAAAAAAGUUGAACGAAAUCUACGUUAUGACUUGAUCCCUAUAUUAUAAAGGGUACACAGACAGCUUAAGGAAAACCUUAAGUCUAGUCCAACAAAUAAAAGAUAAAAAAGGUGAACUAGGUUAUGACGUGAUCCCUACAUUAUAAAGGUUACGUAGGCAGCUUGAGAAAAACCUUAAGUCUAGUUAAGUAAUUAAAAAUAAAUGACACAUUGCAUUCAAUAUAGGAAAAGUGAGAAGUCGAAGAAUCAAAGAAUGAAUGUUUCAUUAUAAAUUUCUAGCUCGAAAAUUACAAAUAGCAUAAAUAGAUAAAUAAGAAGAGGCAGUGAUUCAUAGGUCCAUUUAAGGUUUUUCAGCUCCUCUAGUGUGCUUUCUAAAUAUUCAAGAAGUGAUCAUAGGAUUUUAGCAUCAACAUCUCCAACGAUUUGGGGCACAUUCGAGUUUGUCAAUUUCCUCGCAAGUCUUUGGAAUCUCAUGCUGCUUUCGCUUAAGCUCCAUGUCGUGCUUGGAAAUUAUGUCAGAAAGUUUGACGGAGUUUGUCCGCACCACCAUUUGUUUUGCUUCUAGUUU